rnacentral:lncRNA from 12 species
CUUCUGUGCAUUUGGAGAGGUGUGUCCUCUGUAUUUCCCAGCAUCUGUGUGACCCUGGGUUAGUCUUGGCCCCUCUCUGGCCCUCAGGGUGGACUUCUACAGUACUCAGGAAUAUUUAGACCCUUCUCAACUGCUGCUGGUGGCCAAGAAGCCCUGUUAUCUGGGUUCUGGGCUCUUCAGAUAUCUAUGUUGUCAUCAAAACUCUGUCAAAAGCAAAGGCCAGAACCCAAGUAAAACAUUCUUAAGAGGGAGAAAAAGGAAAUUAUUUGCUCAGGUAAUUGAAAAGCCUGAAGAACGGUGAUAAGGAAGGCAUAACCUCAGGCUUGUCUGAUUUCAAGUACUAAAGCCAUGCCACUGAAGUCAUUCUCCCUCUCUUUCUCUUUGUUUCUGUCUCUUUCCACCUCUGUGUGUCUUUUCCCUCAUUUUCUACCAGUGACUUAUCUCCAAGUAGAAGCCAAGACCAGGCUGGAGUAACUCUUCUGGGAAAAAAGUCUCCUUCCCCCAAUUUCACCCAAGGCCUCAGACCUGAAUGUCAUUAACUGAGAAAAGUCACGUGUUUAUUGUUUAACCAGUCACUGGAAGAUGGAAGCACCCAGUCAUGGGUUGAGGAAAGGGUUAGCCUAGGGCUGAGGAAAGGGCUGGCCUCAUGGACACACACAGACUUAAAAUGGAGAUGAGGUGAUUCCUGAAGCAAAAAGGGGCACACUGGCACAGGACACUAAAAAUUGUCUUCUACAAGGCCCUCUGUGACAUCACUGGCUAUUGCACAAUGACCUGUUGGGCUCCCUUUGGCCACAGCCUCUGUUCUUCCCCCCCAGCCCCACCUCCAGUGUUCUGAAGCUGAAGACAGACCUGUGACAUUCACCUUCCCCAACUAGUCCUAGAAAAAGAGGCAAAACUCCCUGGAAAGAGGCUGAUUGAUUGGGAAAGAGUGCCAUGCUGUGGGUGAGGAGAUUUGAUUUGUAACCCAUGUUCAAAACCUUUCUAUCUGAAAGUCCAAGAACUUCAGGACAAGAUAGAAGUUGUGCUGGUGUGCACCUACCUUUCCAUAGAGCUUGCCAGAGCACAGUGAGUCCCAACUUCUGGAUUGUUAGACUUGAUGCAAAUGGAUUACAAGUUCCUGAGAUACUGAUUCCUCAACUCUGUAGAGCUGAUGCUGCCAAAGGUUCCAGGGCCCCUUGCCUCUGAUUAUGAGUAAUAUUAUCCAUUUAUGGCAGUAUGUUACAAUUACUGCCAUUUUUCUACUAUGGCCAAUAAAACACAAAAAUUGAGGAAGCGUGGAUCCA